rnacentral:rRNA from 1 species
AGUACGUGAAUUGUUUUGUCAGGUUAAUUCCGAUAACGUACGAGACCUAAACUUAUUAAUUUGGUGUGGAGUGUAUUUACACUCUUCUAGUAAAAUUUAUUUUACAUACAUCUCAAUAGGACAAUGUGCGUUUUUUAAAAUUUAGUUCAGGGAAGGUAGGCAAUAACAGG